UUACAGCCCAGACAAGGAGGAUCGAAAUGUAUUUGUGAGGAAAGUCAUGGUGAUUUUGUUGGUUAUGCUACUGGUCACAGUAGCAUUUAUGCUGGUGGUUCUAUUAGUGGAGACGUUAAAAGAGAUUUUUACAAGAUUUUCUAUGAUAAUAGUUAUUCCUUCCUUGGUCGGAUUAAUGGUACUGGGUUGCUACAUGCCUACUUCGAAA